AGAGUUUGAUCAUGGCUCAGAUUGAACGCUGGCGGCAGGCCUAACACAUGCAAGUCGAGCGGAAACGACACUAUUGAAUCUUCGGAGGAUUURWUGGGCGUCGAGCGGCGGACGGGUGAGUAAUGCCUAGGAAAUUGCCUUGAUGUGGGGGAUAACCAUUGGAAACGAUGGCUAAUACCGCAUAAUGCCUACGGGCCAAAGAGGGGGAYCUUCGGGCCUCUCGCGUCAAGAUAUGCCUAGGUGGGAUUAGCUAGUUGGUGAGGUAAUGGCUCACCAAGGCGACGAUCCCUAGCUGGUCUGAGAGGAUGAUCAGCCACACUGGAACUGAGACACGGUCCAGACUCCUACGGGAGGCAGCAGUGGGGAAUAUUGCACAAUGGGCGAAAGCCUGAUGCAGCCAUGCCGCGUGUAUGAAGAAGGCCUUCGGGUUGUAAAGUACUUUCAGUUGUGAGGAAGGGGGUAACGUUAAUAGCGUUAUCUCUUGACGUUAGCAACAGAAGAAGCACCGGCUAACUCCGUGCCAGCCGCCCGGGUAAUUCAAAA
rnacentral:rRNA from 1 species